UUGUGACAAACGUCAGUUAUGAAGUUAAUGUAAACGCGUGUUGUAAUGAUUUUCAGAAACGUAUUUUGAAAUUUUUGUAUUUAAAUUAGUACCCUGUGCUAUGGUGUAAAAGUGAAGUGCAAAUGAGUGGUGAAAAGUGUACGUAGUAAAAGUGCAAUGAAAAAGUUAUUUUUGACAAAAACUUGUGCUUGAAUAUUUUUUCCCCAAUUACUCUCAAUGAAAAUUGAAUAAACGUUUUGCCAUGGCACCUUCUCCCUGGGCCAGCGUCUCUUUAUGGAAUUCCCCAGAAUUUACACCAUUAGAGGUUUUCAGAUAUUUGGCAGGGUUGGGACUUUGAAAAUUUUUAGUUAGAGUGAGACGAGUGCUUGUGAGUUGGAUUGAGGGAUCGAGUGAGGUGAGGUUAGUGUGUAGUAUAUCUAUUAUAUACCUAGUGGUUGGUGGUUUUUAUUAAAAGAAAACGUAAUUUUGGAGUACAUACUUUUCCUAGGUUAACGGAAAGCGAAGUGUUUGGUUGCUAGGGGUUCGGGCAAUCAUUCGUAGAUAAUUCGUGGAUUUUCGGGUGCCAUUUUACAGAUAUAUGGUCCAAUACAGCUAACUAUAAAUGAAAACAAACACAUUUGGUACUUUCUAUUAAUAAUCCAUCCAAUUCUAUCACUCUUGUUAAUUUCGUUUAACUCUACUCGUAUCACGAAAAUUAACUGUGUUGAAACUUUACUUACCUGCAUCGCAUCCUUACAAUUACUGGGAAUCGUCGGUAUUGUUGCACUCGUAUGGAGGAUAGCUCUUUCAGGAGAAAUAAGCAGCGUAAUUUGGAUCGCAAUGUCAUUUCAUUUCGGCCUCCAGACAUAUUCGAUCGUAUUAAUAUUUAAUUUUGUAUUUGAAAUUCGAACAUCAGAAGAUAAUAAUAAUUGUCGAGAUGGAGUUGAAAUUUCAAGCUCACCUUUGGACGCACCUCCUCCUUCUUAUGAGGAGUGCGUAACGGAGACACCACCACCCAGUUACGAAGCUGCUAUUUUCAACUUUCCAGAAGAUAAAAGUUAACGGAAAGAGGUGGUUUUAAACCUGCAUUGUAGUAUAGUGAGAAUGAAGUUGCCUAUCUUCAAGUAGUAGGAAGGUACAUGUUCAGCAAUAUUUAUUCCGCUUGCUAUCUAUUUCCUCGUACCUAGAGAAUUGUUUUUUUUGGAGGGGGGAGAGAAAUAAAAGUUCUAGUACUGGUAACAGUGCUCGGAUCUUUUAACCCCGUUUUCGACUGUUGAGAUACACAGACUGUUUUUCAAGUCAAUUUUUCCAUGACCAUAGGCCUAAGUUUUGUGGUGCAUUGUUCCAGUAUUACGAAUUAUGAUAUUUGAUAUACCUAUUAUAAUGAUUUGAAAGUAAA